CCAAUAGCGUAUAUUAAAGUUGUUGCAGUUAAAAAGCUCGUAGUUGAAUUUCGGGGUCAGUAGGUUGGUCAUGCCACUGGUAUGUACUGGUCUCACUGAUUCCUCCUUCCUGAUGAACUGUAAUGCCAUUAAUUUGGUGUUGCAGGGAAUCUGGACUGUUACUUUGAAAAAAUUAGAGUGUUUAAAGCAGGCUAACGCCUGAAUACAUUAGCAUGGAAUAAUGAAAUAGGACGUUCGAUCCUAUUUUGUUGGUUUCUAGGAUUGACGUAAUGAUUAAUAGGGAUAGUUGGGGGCAUUAGUAUUCAAUUGUCAGAGGUGAAAUUCUUGGAUUUAUUGAAGACUAACUACUGCGAAAGCAUUUGCCAAGGAUGUUUUCAUUAAUCAAGAACGAAAGUUAGGGGAUCGAAGACGAUCAGAUACCGUCGUAGUCUUAACCAUAAACUAUGCCGACUAGGGAUCGGAUGAUGUUAAUUUUUUAAUGACUCAUUCGGCGCCUUACG
rnacentral:rRNA from 2 species